rnacentral:lncRNA from 1 species
GGAUAACAGCAACUGGACACCAGAAUGUGGAGACUCUGGCAUCAGUCUUAUCUCUCGUUGACUAUUGAAGAUAGAGGUGGCCAGGUCCUGCCUCUGGCAAGUGAUCAGGUUUCCCAUCAUGUGGAAGAUUUAGAACAAUUUGGAAAAGAACAUUUGAAAGCAGUGACACUCACAUUCCGUUUGGGGGCCCUCAAGAGCCACAGAAGGCUCAGAGUCCCAAAUACAUGGAAGAAAUCAAGUGCUCAUCUUAUGUCUCCUACUACCUGGAACAGGCUUGGGAAGAAAUCUGGGAAUAUCUCAGCUCUACUGUCCAUUGCCCAGGAGCCUCAUCUCUACCACAGAUCCUUCUAUUAA